UUUUUUUUUUUUUAAAUUAUACAAUCUCAUGUGUGCUAGGCUGGCUCUGGUUGAACUCACGCUGUAAUGGGGAUGACCUUGAGUUUGCCAUCCUCCUGCCUCUCCUCUCAGGGCUGGGAACUGAACCCAAGGCUUUGUGUUUGCUAGGCCGUUACUUGCUGAGUUUUGUACAUGCUAGGCAGUUCUCUAUCAACUGAGCUAUACCACAGCAGAUUUUGUUUUUUGUUUUUGUUUUUAAAUCGCACUAAUUGUUUUUAAAUCGCACUAAUUCUAACAAAGAUAAUUUCAAAUGAGCUAUGUGUUAUUGUGGGAAGGAUUCAGAUACGUUUAACAAUUGGAAGAAAUAAAUUCUUUGAUUUUAAUCUGUGGACAUAGUGAAUUUAUAGUUCACAUACUAUGAUGAAUGCCCAGGCUUUGUGUCUUGAAGCAUUUUUCUUGAGAUCAGACAAUACUGAAUAUAAACCAGUUGAACAAUUAGCAGGUCUCUGCUAUAAGAUAGCAGAAAUCUGUUAAUAACAUGAAAUGUUUUCUGUUUAAGUUUGGUGUGCAAACAGCUUUACAGUUGUGGACUUUUGGUUUGGGGGUUACUUUUACACAUAAAGCCUGUAAUAUACUGUGGGGCACUAAAUAGAAGUGGAUAUAAGGAUUUACCUUUAUUUAGGAAAUGAGAAAACUUAGGGGCUCUUAGAUAAAUCUUGGAAUUUAGUCACAAACAGCUUUUUGAAAUACUGUUAUCGGUUGUCUUAGGAUUCCUGUUGCUGUGAAGAGACACCAACACCACAGCAACAUAUAUAAAGGAAACCAUUUAAUUGGUCCUGUUUUAGAAAAUUAGUCCAUUAACAUGGCCGGGAGUGUGACAGGAUACAGGCAGACAUGGUGCUGGAGGAGGAGCUGAGAGUUCUACAUCUUUAUCUACAAGUAGUAAGAGUGCCACACUGGGCAUGGCUUGAACUUCUGGGACCUCAAAGCCUACCCUCUAGUGUCACACCUCUUCCAGCAAAGUCACAGCUACUCCAACAAUGCCAUACCUUCUAGUACUAGUGACACUCCUAUGGCCAAGCAUUCAGGCAGAUGUGUAUGGGGGACAUUUCUAUUCAAACCAUCACAUUGGUCAAAACUUGUAUUGUUUC
rnacentral:lncRNA from 1 species